CCGAAACCCUAGCCCCCAAAACCUUGAUUUCCUCCACUUUUAUCAACAAUCCACCAUGGUUCUUGCAUCAAGGAUGGAGAACAAGAGAAGAUCAACAUUUUCUACCGAUUGGAUUUCGAAAUUUUGGAGGAAUCUCAUCAAGCUUGCUUGCUUCUUGAGGGCACACUUCAGGAGGGACAAGCACUCCGUUGUAGCACUGUAAUCACUUUGGGAGUCCAUCUUAACCCUUGAAGCUCACCCUUCAGUUGUCAACCUCAGUAUGCCCAGGCUCCCAGACCAAGUCU